GAGUUUGAUCCUGGCUCAGAUUGAACGCUGGCGGCAGGCCUAACACAUGCAAGUCGAACGGUAACAGAAAGCAGCUUGCUGCUUUGCUGACGAGUGGCGGACGGGUGAGUAAUGUCUGGGAAACUGCCUGAUGGAGGGGGAUAACUACUGGAAACGGUAGCUAAUACCGCAUAACGUCGCAAGACCAAAGAGGGGGACCUUCGGGCCUCUUGCCAUCGGAUGUGCCCAGAUGGGAUUAGCUUGUUGGUGGGGUAACGGCUCACCAAGGCGACGAUCUCUAGCUGGUCUGAGAGGAUGACCAGCCACACUGGAACUGAGACACGGUCCAGACUCCUACGGGAGGCAGCAGUGGGGAAUAUUGCACAAUGGGCGCAAGCCUGAUGCAGCCAUGCCGCGUGUAUGAAGAAGGCCUUCGGGUUGUAAAGUACUUUCAGCGGGGAGGAAGGGAGUAAAGUUAAUACCUUUGCUCAUUGACGUUACCCGCAGAAGAAGCACCGGCUAA
rnacentral:rRNA from 1 species